rnacentral:rRNA from 1 species
AUGGACGACGAUCUUGUCUACCUGUGCUCUGCUUUGGUCGUGUCGGUGUUAGCCAUCGCGGCUGUCCAGCUCCUGAAGCCGCGACCACGGCUGCCGCCGGGGCCGCUGAACCUGCCGGUGAUCGGGAGCGCGCACCGGCUGGUGAACGCGCUGCCGCACCGCACGAUGCGCGAGCUGGCCGGCGUGUACGGCCCGCUCAUGUACCUCCGCGUCGGGCACGUGCCCGUGGUGGUGGUCACCUCCAAGGAGGUCGCCCGCGAGAUCCUCAAGACCCACGACGCCAUCUUCGCCACCCGGCCCAAGCUCAUGUCCGGCGACAUCGUCGCCUACGGCUCCACGGACCUCCUCUUCUGCCCCACCCCCGGCGACUACUUCCGCAAGCUCCGAAAGCUGUGCGUCCAGGAGAUCCUGAGCAACGACCGCAUCCGCUCCUUCCAGGACGUCAGGGAGGACGAGGUUCGCAGCCUCGUCGAGGACAUCCGGGCGGCCGGGCCGUCGGCGCCGCUGGACCUCAGCAGGAAGAUCUACAAAUUGACGAACGGCAUCGUCUCCCGGGCGGCGUUCGGCAUGAAGAGCAGCAAGGCCGAGGACUUCGUGGCGGCCAUCAAGCACAGCUUCGUCUACAGCACCGGCUUCUCCAUCCCUGACCUCUUCCCUGGUUUCACGGGGAUCCUCAGCUUCCUCACCGGCAUGAGGAGGAACCUCGAGGGCGUUCGUGACACCAUCGACGGCAUCCUGGAGGAGAUCAUCGACGAGAGGGAGAAAAUCCUCAAGAGUGGCAGGUCAACCGCGUCGGAGAAGAACCUGGUGGAAGUUCUCCUCGGCCUCAUUGGGAAUGAAGACUUUGGCUUCCCCAUCACCCGCUCCACUGUCAAAGCAGUUGUCCUGGACAUAUUUGCGGGUGGGACAGAGACAUCAGGAACCUCCAUGGAGUGGGCCAUGUCAGAGCUGAUGAUGAACCCAAAGGUGAUGAGGAAGCUGCAAGGCGAGAUCAGGGAGGCGUUCCGCGGCAAGGAGUUCAUCUCCGAGACCGAUCUCCGGGCGAGUGGCAGCUGCAUCAAGUACCUGGGCCUGGUGAUCAAGGAGACGUUCAGGCUGCACCCACCAGCCCCCAUCCUGGUGCCUCGAGAGAGCACGGAGGCCUGCGAGAUCAACGGGUACGUGAUCCCGGCCAAGACGAGAGUGAUCAUAAAUUCAUGGGCCAUCAUGAGGGACCCUCAGUACUGGGAAGACGCUGAGGAGUUCAGGCCAGAGAGGUUCGAGGGGAGUCGCAUGGACUUCCAUGGCGGCUGCUUCGAGUACACGCCGUUCGGGUCCGGGAAGAGGAUGUGCCCCGGCUUCAACUACGGCAUGGCUAGCAUGGAGCUCACCCUGGUGCAGCUCUUGCACUCGUUCGACUGGAGCCUCCCGGAGGGCGUCGAUCGACUCGACAUGACCGAGACCGUGUCGCUGAGCUUGACCAGGAAGACGCACCUCAUGCUGCGCGCUGUCCCUCAUGCACCACCGCCUUCCUCCUAA